AGAGGCCAUUAGGAUUCGCGUGAGGAGAGGAAUGCUGAGGAUAACUUGCUUCGCCCAAUGAACUCGAACCAUCACGCAUCCACUAACCUUAGUGACUACACAACGGAUGCCAUCGAGAGAAUCAAUCGAGAAUCGAAGAUGGAUUCGGUGGCCCUUCUCUUCUUCCUCCUCCUCCUCUUGUCAGCGACUGCACCCUCAGAAUCAUUUGCAGGUCAUCGAAAGUUGAUGCAUCAUGCUUCGGUACCACACGAAGCUACGAAAAAGAGUUCAUCCAAGGAUAAUGUUAAGACCAAUGACUAUGGAGCGUAUGAUCCUUCCCCAGCUCUCAACAAGCCUCCUUACAAGCUCAU